CCUGAAGGCACAAAAAGCAAAGGUCAGUUCCUUCAUGUGAAAAGGUGAUACCUCUUCACAUUGUGAUUAUAAUACAGUGAACAGCUUAUGUUUGGUUUUCAUUCUGAUAGAACAACCAAUAGAAGAAAUGUAGAAAGAAAAGCCAGACACUAGCAGUAAUAACAGGUACCCAUCUUUACAAAUUACUUCCAAUGUUUGGUUCUGGAUCUUCAAAGAUUUUUGAACAAUGAUAGAGAACCAAAGAUUUGUAGAAAUCAGAUGUCAAAUGUGUUUGUGUAAAGAAGAAUUACCCUUUUUGGCGGCAAGCAAUAUAUACAGGUAGCUGGACGACAGAAUCUAAGCUUUCUUGGAUCAUCAAGAGUCAGAAAGAAGGGGAGGAGAAUAUGAGGAAACUUGAGAGAGGAGGCAUUGUAUAUUUGAAUAGUUGGGAACUGCAAGCAAGGGAAGUUUUAAAAAAUGGAAAAAGGUAUAUGGAGAAGGAAAGGCAAAAUAUAUCUGCUAUGAACUCAAAUCUGAUAGGUGUUGGAAUGCGGUAUAAGGGCAAGCACUGAUUCUGCAGUUUUCGUGUGGUGGCAUUUCCCCUCUUCUUUAGAGCUUCUCUUUUUACUGUUUUUAUGGUACUGAACCAGAAAGUUAAAGGUGCGUUAGGUUAUGGGUUAUAGAUUUUGUAUGCACAAGUUGCAUCUUCUAGUUUGUGAUCAAGAAUAUUGUCCCCUGGAGAAUCUGUUUAGUCCCAAAGCUCACUGCUCUGCUACUUAGCAAGCAAAACAGGAAUCAAAUCAUUCUCUCACUGCAUCCAUUUUCUGUAGAAGCAUUUGAUUCCUUCUUUCAGAAACAA